UACGAAGGGGGCUAGCGUUGUUCGGAAUUACUGGGCGUAAAGCGCGUGUAGGCGGUUAUCCAAGUCGGGUGUGAAAGCCUUGAGCUUAACUCAAGAAAUGCACUCGGUACUGGGUGACUAGAGGACCGGAGAGGAUAGUGGAAUUCCCAGUGUAGUGGUGAAAUACGUAGAGAUUGGGAAGAACACCAGUGGCGAAGGCGGCUAUCUGGACGGUUUCUGACGCUAAGACGCGAAAGCGUGGGGAGCAAACAGG
rnacentral:rRNA from 1 species